rnacentral:rRNA from 1 species
AUUGAACGCUGGCGGCAGGCCUAACACACGCAAGUCGAGCGGAUGAGAGGAGCUUGCUUCUCGAUUCAGCGGCGGACGGGUGAGUAAUGCCUAGGAAUCUGCCUGGUAGUGGGGGACAACGUUUCAAAAGGAACGCUAAUACCGCAUACGUCCUACGGGAGAAAGCAGGGGACCUUCGGGCCUUGCGCUAACAGAUGAGCCUAGGUCGGAUUAGCUAGUUGGGGAGGUAAUGGCUCACCAAGGCGACGAUCCGUAACUGGUCUGAGAGGAUGAUCAGUCACACUGGAACUGAGACACGGUCCAGACUCCUACGGGAGGCAGCAGUGGGGAAUAUUGGACAAUGGGCGAAAGCCUGAUCCAGCCAUGCCGCGUGUGUGAAGAAGGUCUUCGGAUUGUAAAGCACUUUAAGUUGGGAGGAAGGGUUGUAGAUUAAUACUCUGCAAUUUUGACGUUACCGACAGAAUAAGCACCGGCUAACUCUGUACCAGCCGCCGCCGUAACAC